rnacentral:rRNA from 1 species
AACGAACGCUGGCGGCGCGCCUAACACAUGCAAGUCUCACGAGAAACCCUGUAGCAAUACAGGGCGGUAAAGUGGCGAACGGGUGAGUAAUGCGUGGGGUAACCUACCUCCGAGAUGGGGGAUAACCCGCCGAAAGGCGGGCUAAUACCGAAUAAGACCACAUGCCGACAGGCACGGGGUAAAAGGUGGCCUAGGGUCCGCAAGGGGCUAUGC